GUGCUUGCUUCAGCAGCACAAACACUAAAAUUGGAACAACACAGAGAUUAGCAUGGCCCCUGCACAGGGAUGACAUGCAAAUUUGUGAAGCAUUCCAUUAAAAA